CCUACGGGGGGCUGCAGUGGGGAAUAUUGGACAAUGGGCGAAAGCCUGAUCCAGCCAUGCCGCGUGUGUGAAGAAGGCCUUCGGGUUGUAAAGCACUUUCAGUGGGGAAGAAAGCCUUGGGGCUAAUACCCUCGAGGAAGGACAUCACCCACAGAAGAAGCACCGGCUAACUCCGUGCCAGCAGCCGCGGUAAUACGGAGGGUGCGAGCGUUAAUCGGAAUUACUGGGCGUAAAGCGCGCGUAGGCGGUCUGAUAAGCCGGUUGUGAAAGCCCCGGGCUCAACCUGGGAACGACAUCCGGAACUGUCAGGCUAGAGUGCAGGAGAGGAAGGUAGAAUUCCCGGUGUAGCGGUGAAAUGCGUAGAGAUCGGGAGGAAUACCAGUGGCGAAGGCGGCCUUCUGGACUGACACUGACGCUGAGGUGCGAAAGCGUGGGUAGCAAACAGGAUUAGAUACCCUAGUAGUC
rnacentral:rRNA from 1 species